rnacentral:rRNA from 1 species
GACGAAGGGGGCUAGCGUUGUUCGGAAUUACUGGGCGUAAAGCGCGUGUAGGCGGUUGUUCAAGUCGGGUGUGAAAGCCUUGAGCUCAACUCAAGAAAUGCACUCGGUACUGGAUGACUAGAGGACCGGAGAGGAUAGUGGAAUUCCCAGUAUAGUGGUGAAAUACGUAGAGAUUGGGAAGAACACCAGUGGCGAAGGCGGCUAUCUGGACGGUUUCUGACGCUAAGACGCGAAAGCGUGGGGAGCAAACAGG